GGUUUACUGCUUCAGCUGCUGCAGCCUGGACACAAACACCAGCUCUCACCUGACAAACCAAACAGGUGUCUCCACUUCGUCUUCGUACAGUGAAGAAGUUCUUUGAGACCAGGACUGAGGCCUCCAGGAUUCAAACUGGAACCAUCACAGAGGGAAGAGACAGACAUGAAGAUGUUGUCAGGUCUUCAGCUGCUGUCGUCUUCUCCUCCUCCACAGACAACAACACGGAUUGAUCACACAAACUCAUCUGUCUUCAGCUGCUGUCGUCUUCUCCUCCUGCACAGACAACAACACGGAUUGAUCACACAAACUCAUCUGUCUUCAGCUGCUGUCGUCUUCUCCUCCUGCACAGACAACAACACGGAUUGAUCACACAAACUCAUCUGUCUUCAGCUGCUGUCGUCUUCUCCUCCUGCACAGACAACAACACGGAUUGAUCACACAAACUCAUCUGUCUUCAGCUGCUGUCGUCUUCUCCUCCUGCACAGACAACAACACGGAUUGAUCACACAAACUCAUCUGUAAGUCCAAACAGUUUUUACAUUUAGUGACUAGACUGACAGUUUGUGACAGUUUUAACACUUUACUGUACUGUGACAUUUAGUGACUCCUGACUACACUGACAGUUUUUAACAGUUUUUAAUACUUUACUGUUACAUUUAGUGACUAGACUGACAUUUUGACACCUUACUGUGACAUUUAGUGACUCCUGACUACA